GGUAGUCGAGGGCUGGUUGUCCAGGCCUUGCUGAUAACGAGGUUGUGCCGAGUUCGAUCCUCGGGGCUACCAC
rnacentral:tRNA from 1 species